GGGGUCUUAGACUUAGCAUGCAUGUCUAAGAUAAAUCUGAAUCUGCGAAUGGCUCAUUAAAACAGUUAUAGUUUAUUUGGUAUUGGAAUUUAUAUGGAUAACCGUACUAAUUGUAGAGCUAAUACAUGCGUUACGCCUGACUUUUGGAAGGGCAGUAUUUAUUAGAUAACAAAUCAAUAUUCCUCUGGUCUAUUUGAUGACUCAUAAUAACUGAGCGAAUCGGCGGUCGUCUGCCGAUAAACCAUUCAAGUUUCUGCCCCAUCAGCUUGAUGGUAGUGUAUUGGACUACCAUGGCUUUCACGGGUAACGGGGGAUUAGGGUUCGACACCGGAGAGGGAGCCUGAGAAACGGCUACCACUUCUACGGAAGGCAGCAGGCGCGUAAAUUACCCAAUCCUAAUUCAGGGAGGUAGUGACAAGAAAUAACGGACCGGGUAUUUACCCGGGUUUGGAAUGAGCCUAAUUUACACACCUUAGUGAGGAUCCAUUGGAGGGCAAGUCUGGUCCCCCCGUGCCCCCGC
rnacentral:rRNA from 1 species